GACGAACGCUGGCGGCGUGCUUAACACAUGCAAGUCGAACGGUGAAGGGACCGGUUUUUGCUGGUUCUGGAUGAGUGGCGAACGGGUGAGUAACACGUGAGUAACCUGCCCCCUUCUUCUGGAUAACCGCAUGAAAGUGUGGCUAAUACGGGAUAUUCUGCGCCUGCUGCAUGGUGGGUGUGGGAAAGAUAUUGUUUCGGUGGGGGAUGGGCUCGCGGCCUAUCAGCUUGUUGGUGGGGUGAUGGCCUACCAAGGCGGUGACGGGUAGCCGGCCUGAGAGGGUGGACGGUCACACUGGGACUGAGACACGGCGCAGACUCCUACGGGAGGCAGCAGUGGAGAAUAUUGCACAAUGGGCGCAAGCCUGAUGCAGCGACGCCGCGUGAGGGAUGGAGGCCUUCGGGUUGUAAACCUCUUUCGCCAGUGAAGCAGGCCUGUCCCUUUUGUGGGUGGGUUGACGGUAGCUGGAGAAGAAGCGCCGGCUAACUACGUG
rnacentral:rRNA from 1 species